rnacentral:rRNA from 1 species
GACGAACGCUGGCGGCGUGCUUAACACAUGCCAGUCGAACGGAAAGGCCCUGCUUGCAGGGUACUCGAGUGGCGAACGGGUGAGUAACACGUGGGUGAUCUGCCCUGCACUUCGGGAUAAGCCUGGGAAACUGGGUCUAAUACCGGAUAGGAGCCAUUUUUAGUGUGAUGGUUGGAAAGUUUUUUUCGGUGUAGGAUGAGCUCGCGGCCUAUCAGCUUGUUGGUGGGGUAAUGGCCUACCAAGGCGGCGACGGGUAGCCGGCCUGAGAGGGUGGACGGCCACAUUGGGACUGAGAUACGGCCCAGACUCCGACGGGAGGCAGCAGUGGGGAAUAUUGCACAAUGGGCGCAAGCCUGAUGCAGCGACGCCGCGUGGGGGAUGACGGCCUUCGGGUUGUAAACUCCUUUCGCUAGGGACGAAGCUUUUUGUGACGGUACCUAGAUAAGAAGCACCGGCUAACUACGUG